rnacentral:rRNA from 1 species
GCUGCAGAAGAAGCACCGGCUAACUCCGUGCCAGCAGCCGCGGUAAUACGGAGGGUGCGAGCGUUUAAUCGGAAUUACUGGGCGUAAAGCGCAUGCAGGUGGUUUGUUAAGUCAGAUGUGAAAGCCCGGGGCUCAACCUCGGAAUUGCAUUUGAAAACUGGCAAACUAGAGUACUGUAGAGGGGGUAGGAAUUUCAGGUGUAGCGGUGAAAUGCGUAGAGAUCUGAAGGAAUACCGGUGGCGAAGGCGGCCCCCUGGACAGAUACUGACACUCAGAUGCGAAAGCGUGGGGAGCAAACAGGAUUAGAUACCCUGGUAG